AUAAAGUCAGGGACAAAGACAUCUUGCUGACUCUGGGAGGACCCUGGCCACCAUGCAUCCUGUUUCAGUCCCCGUCCAGCAGGGGGUGCAGCUUCCUAACACAAACACCUUUCCUGAGAAAUGUGGGCUUCCACUGAUCAUUGCUCUGUCUCUCCAAUGCUUCUUCCUGCUAAGAAUGAAGCACAUAUUAUCUAGGUGACACUCUAGAGAUGAACUCUUCUCCAGGCUUCGUGACUGUGGUACUCUUGAUGCUUGGACGAACCCAUGGAGAUGGAGACUCAGUGACCCAGAUGCAAGGCCCAGUGACCAUUCCUGAAAGGAAGUCCUUGAUUAUAAACUGUACUUAUUCAACAACAUGGACCCCCACUCUGUUCUGGUAUGUCCAAUAUCCCAGAGAAAGUCCACAGCUCCUCCUGAAAGCCUUGAGGGACAAGGAGAAGGGAAGUCACAAAGGUUUUGAAGCCACCUACGACAGCAAAUCCAAAUCCUUCCACUUGGAGAAGUCCUCAGUGCAAGCGUCAGAUUCGGCUGUGUACUACUGUGCUGUGAGUGACACAGUGACAGGGACUGCAGGGGGAGCUGAGCACAAACUCUGA